GACGAACGCUGGCGGCGUGCCUAAUACAUGCAAGUUGAGCGCUGAAGGUUGGUACUUGUACCAACUGGAUGAGCAGCGAACGGGUGAGUAACGCGUGGGGAAUCUGCCUUUGAGCGGGGGACAACAUCUGGAAACGAAUGCUAAUACCGCAUAAAAACUUUAAACACAAGUUUUAAGUUUGAAAGAUGCAAUUGCAUCACCCAAAGAUGAUCCCGCGUUUUCUUAGCUAGUUGGUAAGGUAAAGGCCAACCAAGGCGAGGAACCAUAGCCGACCGGAGAGGUGGUCGGCCACAUUGGGACUGAGACACGGCCCAAACUCCUACGGGAGGCAGCAGUAGGGGAUCUUCGGCAAUGGACGGAAGUCUGACCGAGCAACGCCGCGGGAGUGGAGAAGGUUUUCGGAUCGUAAAACUCUGUUGGUAGGGAAGAACGUUGGUGGGAGUGGAAAGCUCAUCAAGUGACGGUAACUACCCAGAAAGGGACGGCUAACUACGUG
rnacentral:rRNA from 1 species